rnacentral:lncRNA from 1 species
CUUGGGCAUAUACCCAAAAGAUGUUCCAAUAUAUAACAAAGACACAUGCUCCACUAUAUUCAUAGCAACCUUAUUUAUAAUAGCCAGAAGCUGGAAAGAACCCAGAUGCCCUUCAACAGAGGAAUGGAUACAAAAAAUGGGGUACAUCUACACAAUGGAAUACUACUCAGCUACCAAAAACAAUGACUUUAUGAAAUUCAUAGGCAAAUGGAUGGAACUAGAAAAUAUCAUCCUGAGUGAGGUAACCCAAUCACAGAAAAACGUACAUGGUAUGCACUCAUUGAUAUGUGGAUAUUAGCCCAAAUGCUCGAAUUACCCUUGUUGCACAGAACACGUGAAACU